CCUGGAGUCACCGGGCACCACGGUCUCACCAAGGCUGCCUGACAGUCACUUGGCUGGAGACAGUCAGCUGUGAGCAUGCUGUGCUGCUUUCCCAGGCCUCCAGGCCCCAGCCUCAGGACCCCGCAUGGGAAAGCACUUGGGAACGAGAGGAUGGAUGACUAAGUUCAGACACUACAGGCCACUCAACAGGAACAACCCAGUCCUAAUGGGCAGCACAGGGCAGGUCUCACCACACCCAGAGACCUUGGAGCCUGAGAUGAGAGGGAGCCCAGGGCAGGUCUCCCUGGGCCUGGCCACCAGGCACUCUGAGCAACCGAGUCCAGGACAAGAACAUUUAGGCCUGCCCACCACUUAGCACAGAUGAAGCUUUCUGGAAUCCCUAGUUGGGGAUAAGCAACAGUGCAAGAGGAGUCCAGAAGAGGCACAAAAAAUGAGAAAAACUUGGCUACAUGAGCUACACCCUGAGGAGAGCCACCACAGGAUGGACGCCUAAUGUCCCUCAAUUCUCAGACAGUUGUGGAGCACCAGCCCUGUGCCCUUGAGUACAACCACAAAGCAGACAACAGACCCUGUCCUCUUGGAGCUGACAGUGAGGACAGGCAGGGAGUCAUGGGAUCAGGCUACCCUGAAGAAGGCAAAGGCAUUCACACCACUGAACAAGGGGUUCAUCUCAUGGAGCCUUCUGUCAGGCUCCCAGGGCUCUGGGGCAGGAAUUCUAUACCAGGCAUAGGGAGCAGAUGGGGUUCACUCAUGGACAAACUGGGCAGGAGGCUGAAAGCUAGAAUUUAUUGAUCCCCUAAUCUUAACCCUAGCACUGGUCCUUAAAUCUAAUCCUAAAUAAAACCUAAACCUAAACUUGAACCUACCUCUAAACCAUACCCCUGACCCUAACCUUCAAGACAAAAAUCUGAAACUAAACCUAAACACUAACUCUAAUAAAACCCCUCUUCAUAACAUUAAAUCUAAGCAUAUUUCAAUCCAAAUCCCUAGCCACUAACUCUAACCAUAAGAUUAACCCUGAAUGUAACCCUGAAAAUUUAUCCUAAAUCAAACCCUUAACGUACCCUUCAUGUUCACCUGAACCCUAAACAUAACAUUCAUACUCACCCUAAAUCUUAACCAUAAAUAACAUCAAACUCUAAUCCUAAUCCAUAACAUCUAACACUAACCCUAACUUCCACCCCAAUACCAUCCCAAAUCCAAUGCUAAGCGGAAACCUAGCCCUAACUCUAAGCCCCACACUACCCCUAAAGCCAAACCUAACAUAAACCCUAUCCUAAUAUCCAAUGCUAAGCUUAAACCUUACUGCUAAUCCCUACAAUAUUUUCAGCAAAGAGACUCAGAGAGACCCUCUUUCUGUUGUUGACCUCUGGCCUACCUUCUG
rnacentral:lncRNA from 1 species